rnacentral:rRNA from 1 species
GAUGAACGCUGGCGGCGUGCCUAAUACAUGCAAGUCGAGCGAACAGAUGAGGAGCUUGCUCCUCUGACGUUAGCGGCGGACGGGUGAGUAACACGUGGAUAACCUACCUAUAAGACUGGGAUAACUUCGGGAAACCGGAGCUAAUACCGGAUAAUAUAUUGAACCGCAUGGUUCAAUAGUGAAAGACGGUUUUGCUGUCACUUAUAGAUGGAUCCGCGCCGCAUUAGCUAGUUGGUAAGGUAACGGCUUACCAAGGCAACGAUGCGUAGCCGACCUGAGAGGGUGAUCGGCCACACUGGAACUGAGACACGGUCCAGACUCCUACGGGAGGCAGCAGUAGGGAAUCUUCCGCAAAGGGCGAAAGCCUGACGGAGCAACGCCGCGUAAGUGAUGAAGGUCUUCGGAUCGUAAAACUCUGUUAUUAGGGAAGAACAAAUGUGUAAGUAACUAUGCACGUCUUGACGGUACCUAAUCAGAAAGCCACGGCUAACUACGUG